UUGGGUCUGUGCAGGCUGCCGGGUUUCAGUCCCCUCCCAGGCAGUGAUUCAGGCGCAUCCGACCUUUCGAGCUGCUGUCGAUGUAAAAAGAAGAAGGAGGGAGAGAGGGGAGCGGUCCCAUCCUUUGUCAGCUGGUCCCGACCUUCCAGCUGUGGCCGCAGCUGGCGCUCGUCAGGGCUCAGAGGCGAGGAGGGGGCGGGAGAGGAUCAGCGGACCGAAAUUCCCGGUGGGAAGGUAAAUCUUCCCAUGCUUAUCGUCUCGGCCACUUACUGCCGCUCUCGUGGCGGUGUUACCCAGCUUCUCAGAACAAAAGUGAAAAUCACAUAUUUACUGUGGUACGGUGUUUACAGAAUGGAAAACGUUUUGUAAAUGAACGUUUGAGCAUGUAGAAACAUGGUAGCUAAUAGGUGGUGGUGACCAUACCACUGUGUCUGAGCCAGCCUGGAGGAGCUAGGCACAGGCUCAGAAGAGAAGGAAAAUGUUCUCCCUCCAUGCAGAACGGCCAGUUGUUGCAUUGCUCUCCUGGAAGGUGAGAGGCUUUGUGUGUGGUCUCCUUCAUGCAGACAAGUGCCCAGCCAGAGCACAGCGGUCGGCAUGCUGCCAAUGUUCGCCUCCUUGUCAUGAGCACACAAAGCCCCAAAAAGAAACUGAGCAAAUAUUUCCUAAGCUGCCACUUUCUGGGCCCUGUAAAUUGCAGAGAAGACCUGAAGAGCCUUGGGAGGAGGAUCAAGAAAUAUUUCCAACAUGAAAGACACCUUUCUUACCUGCAUCAUAUAUAUCAUCUUGCCUGCCUUAAUAUGGCAUCAUCCCAGAGGU